rnacentral:rRNA from 1 species
AUUGAACGCUGGCGGAAUGCUUUACACAUGCAAGUCGAACGGCAGCACGGACUUCGGUCUGGUGGCGAGUGGCGAACGGGUGAGUAAUAUAUCGGAACGUGCCCAGUCGUGGGGGAUAACGUAGCGAAAGCUACGCUAAUACCGCAUACGAUCUACGGAUGAAAGCGGGGGAUCGCAAGACCUUGCGCGAGUGGAGCGGCCGAUAUCAGAUUAGGUAGUUGGUGAGGUAAAGGCUCACCAAGCCGACGAUCUGUAGCUGGUCUGAGAGGACGACCAGCCACACUGGGACUGAGACACGGCCCAGACUCCUACGGGAGGCAGCAGUGGGGAAUUUUGGACAAUGGACGCAAGUCUGAUCCAGCCAUUCCGCGUGCAGGACGAAGGCCUUCGGGUUGUAAACUGCUUUUGUACAGAGCGAAAAGGUCUCUAUUAAUACUAGGGGCUCAUGAUGGUACUGUAAGAAUAAGCACCGGCUAACUACGUGCCAGCCGCCGCGGUAA